rnacentral:rRNA from 1 species
AUACGUAGGGGGCGAGCGUUGUCCGGAAUGAUUGGGCGUAAAGGGCGCGUAGGCGGCGCGGUAAGUCUGGAGUGAAAGUCCUGCUUUCAAGGUGGGAAUUGCUUUGGAUACUGCCGCGCUUGAGUGCAGGAGAGGUUAUCGGAAUUCCCGGUGUAGCGGUGAAAUGCGUAGAGAUCGGGAGGAACACCAGUGGCGAAGGCGGGUAACUGGACUGCAACUGACGCUGAGGCGCGAAAGUGUGGGGAGCAAACAGGAUUAGAUACCCUGGUAGUCCACACUGUAAACGAUGAAUGCUAGGUGUAGGGGGUAUCGACUCCCUCUGUGCCGCAGUUAACACAAUAAGUAUUCCGCCUGGGGAGUACGGCCGCAAGGUUGAAACUCAAAGGAAUUGGCGGGG